ensembl:snRNA U6 U6 spliceosomal RNA
GUGUUCAUUUCAGCAGGACAUAUACUAAAAUUGGAACAAUAUAGAGAAGAUUAGCCUGAUCCCUGUGCAACGAUGAGAUGGAAAUUUGUGAAGUAUUCCAUAUUUUU